CUAGUAACAGCCGUCUCCCAAGCUCACUUGGCCUGAGACGGUCAACAGCGAACAUGCUGAGCUGCUUCUCCACUUCGAGAGGCCGUAGCCUCAGGACCCCAGGUAGAGAAAGUAUCUGUGAAAGACUAAGAAGAGGCUGGCUCCAUCCAGACACCGCAUGACUGUCCCAGAAACCCCAGGGACGGUCUCCCUGGGAGUGACCACCAGUGACCUACCAAAAUCAAGGAAACUAUGAUAUUUUAAUAUGUGCAUGGAAUAAAAUUUGAUUCCUAUUUUCAUGUAUGUCUGCAAAAUAUCAUCAGAAUGAGGAAAUAUCAGGCUUAUUUUUGAGGCAUUGGGGUACUGAUUUGAUUUGACUGGAACUUGGAAUCACUUGGAAAUUGUGGGUGAGAAGAAGAAAGACCAAUGAAGAAGGAACCAUCCAGGCCAGGAUAGAGGUCAAAGAGGAGAAAAGUGACAGAAAGAAAGUCACCAAUUUUCCCUUGACUUUGGACAGCUCUGCUUCCCUCUGAUGAAGCCCAGUUGUGCAAUUUUCUUUCCCUCAAUUAAAGGGAAAAAAUACAGAGUACUGAAAGGCCAA
ensembl:lncRNA